rnacentral:rRNA from 1 species
UACGUAGGUGGCAAGCGUUGUCCGGAAUUAUUGGGCGUAAAGCGCGCGCAGGCGGUCCUUUAAGUCUGAUGUGAAAUCUUGCGGCUCAACCGCAAGCGGUCAUUGGAAACUGGGGGACUUGAGUGCAGAAGAGGAAAGCGGAAUUCCACGUGUAGCGGUGAAAUGCGUAGAGAUGUGGAGAAACCCCAGUGGCGAAGGCGGCUUUCUGGUCUGUAACUGACGCUGAGGCGCGAAAGCGUGGGGAGCAAACAGG